AGAGUUUGAUCCUGGCUCAGAUUGAACGCUGGCGACGUGCUUAACACAUGCAAGUCGUGCGAGAAAGGAGACUUCGGUCUCUGAGUAGAGCGGCGCACGGGUGAGUAACGCAUGGAUGAUCUACCCUUGAGUUCGGGAUAACGGUGCGAAAGCGCCGCUAAUACCGUAUAACAAUCCAUUUCAUCGUAGGUUCAAAGCAGGCCUCUUCAUGAAAGCUUGCGCUUGGGGAUGAGUCCGCGUCCCAUUAGCUUGUUGGCGGGGUAACGGCCCACCAAGGCUACGAUGGGUAGCUGGUCUGAGAGGAUGAUCAGCCACACUGGAACUGAAACACGGUCCAGACUCCUACGGGAGGCAGCAGUGGGGAAUAUUGCGCAAUGGGGGAAACCCUGACGCAGCGACGUCGUGUGAGGGAAGAAGGCCUUCGGG
rnacentral:rRNA from 1 species